rnacentral:sRNA from 1 species
ACACAAAACGUUUCUCGCAUGGAACGGUUUGCUUAGUUUUCACACACUUUGGACAUGCUUUUAUCUUGAUCAAUUUCUGUUUCACUUGGGUCAUCUCAGAUUUUUCCUCUGAUGGUUCAGCCAGCUGUCAGAUGUUACCCAAUGUCUGAGGUUAUGUUGCUAAUUGUACACAGCCAAAUCGUUUCAGUUAUUCAAUGGAAAAAAACCCAUACAUGCUUAUUAUGAAAAGACACUACCUCUAAGACUGCAGAUCCAUCUGUUCCAAGCACCAGUACAGGUGGAGUUUCAAACACUGCUGCCAGUACCGACGGAUUCUCAAAUUCUGUUGUUGCUAUAGCCAUGGGUGGAGUUGCUGCAUACCUUCUCUCCCAACCAGCAUCAGGACAAACUGCUCCAGGAACAGGGUACGCUUCUGGUACAGGCCUGGGCGCGCUCGGAAGUCAAUAUCAAAGUGCUUUAACAUUGUAUGGAAAAUAAAGGACUAGGUGUAUGUUGACAGAGUUCAAGACAAUAUGAAUCUAAAACAAAGUAUUGUAGGGUAAAAAAAAACAUGUGCAGCUUAGUCAUAAAACUUGGAAAGCAUGAAUCGAUUUAUAAAUCCUGCUUUAAUGUUUUUAACGUUUUAACAAGCUUUUGUUGUAUAUGUAAACUGGGUUGUAUGUAUAGAAUCCGUUUACCUGAUUUUUUUUAAAAAAAAGAUGCAAUGAUCAUCAAAGAAAAUAUAGGAAUCCUUCAGAGUCAUAAUUUUCUUAUAUUACUUUAGCAAGUGCCCAUUACAAAAAUAUUGCUUUAUAUCAACGUGAUUUCAUAAAUUUGCUUGUCUAGCUAUUACUAGGCAAAUUAUCGUUAAUAAUUGCUGGUAUACUCUAUGACUUUGUACCUGUCACUUUUCUUCCCAUUAUGAAAAAUUAAGUUGCACUAGAAUUUUCACAAUAUUAAACAGCUCCUUUGCAAACCUUAACUUAUUCAAAAGUACAAUCAUGUACGUGUAAAUCGAAAUCGAAAUAUAUUGCUCUUUAAUUCACAAUUAUACUGAGUAUGCAGUUUCAGAAUUCGCAGCACUGAUGCAAAUUUGGGAGUAAAGAAGAAAAAAGUU